rnacentral:snoRNA from 1 species
CCUCUCGAUGAUGAGGAACUGGUGUCCUACAUUCUUGCAGGGCUGGAUAUUGAUUAUAACCCCCUUGUUUCUAAUGUUGUUGGUCGUUCUGAUCAUAUUACUUUAAGUGAUAUUUAUGCCCAGAUGAUCAGCUAUGACA